CCCUUCGGGGNGAAGAUAAGACGGAUUAGCGGCGGACGGGUGAGUAACACGUGAGUAACCUGCCUUUUACACAGGGAUAGCCUCGGGAAACCGGGAUUAAAACCUGAUGAAACUAUCAAAUCACAUGAUUAAGAAAGUUAAAACUCCGGUGGUAAAAGAUGGACUCGCGUCCCAUUAGCUAGUUGGUGAAGGUAACGGCCCACCAAGGCAACGAUGGGUAGCCGGCCUGAGAGGGUGAACGGCCACAUUGGAACUGAGAAACGGUCCAAACUCCUACGGGAGGCAGCAGUC
rnacentral:rRNA from 1 species